rnacentral:rRNA from 1 species
UACGAAGGGAGCGAGCGUUGUUCGGAAUUACUGGGCGUAAAGCGUACGUAGGCGGUUUUGUAAGUCAGGUGUGAAAUCCCAGGGCCUAACCCUGGAACUGCAUUUGAGACUGCAAGACUGGAGUGUCGGAGAGGUUGGCGGAAUUCCCAGUGUAGAGGUGAAAUUCGCAGAUAUUGGGAAGAACACCAAUGGCGCAGGCAGCCAACUGGACGACAACUGACGCUGAUGUACGAAAGCGUGGGGAGCAAACAGG